rnacentral:rRNA from 1 species
AUUGAACGCUGGCGGAAUGCUUUACACAUGCAAGUCGAACGGCAGCACGGGGGCAACCCUGGUGGCGAGUGGCGAACGGGUGAGUAAUACAUCGGAACGUGCCCAUGUCGUGGGGGAUAACGUAGCGAAAGCUACGCUAAUACCGCAUACGAUCUACGGAUGAAAGCGGGGGACCGUAAGGCCUCGCGCGAUUGGAGCGGCCGAUGGCAGAUUAGGUAGUUGGUGGGGUAAAGGCUCACCAAGCCUGCGAUCUGUAGCUGGUCUGAGCGGACGACCAGCCACACUGAGACUGAGACACGGCCGAGACUCCUACGGGAGGCAGCAGUGGGGAAUUUUGGACAAUGGGCGCAAGCCUGAUCCAGCCAUUCCGCGUGCAGGAUGAAGGCCUUCGGGUUGUAAACUGCUUUUGUACGGAACGAAAAGACUCUCUCUAAUACAGGGGGUUCAUGACGGUACCGUAAGAAUAAGCACCGGCUAACUACGUGCCAGCCGCCGCCGUAA